UACGUAGGGGGCAAGCGUUGUCCGGAUUUAUUGGGCGUAAAGAGCGUGUAGGCGGCUUUACAGGUCCGUUGUGAAAACUCGAGGCUCAACCCUCGAGACGCCGGUGGAAACCGUAAAGCUAGAGUCCGGAAGAGGAGAGUGGAAUUCCUGGUGUAGCGGUGGAAGUGCGCAGAUAUCAGGAGGAACACCGAUGGCGAAGGCAGGUCUCUGGGCAAUUAACUGACGCUGGAGGAGCGAAAGCAUGGGGAGCGAACAGGA
rnacentral:rRNA from 1 species